UUCAUAUUCUGUAAGUGGACUCUGUUCAAGACCAUAGAAUGAUGAUUUGUUUAGGAUUUCUCAGCACCAAUCUUCAUACUUCGUUGAGAAAAGUAUUCUAGUAUUUGUACUCUUAUGAGACAUACCAUGAACACUGGAUAGAGCACUUAAUAAAUAUUUACUUUUAGUUUCUCACACAUCCAGCCAAACAUGUUUUUCACUUGUUCUACUGUUGAAGGGGAAUUGGGUUAUGAAUCCUACUGCAGUUUGUGACUCCAAGUAAAUUUCCUUAGAAAUACAAUGAUCACCUAUGUGAAUGUUACAAAGAAUUGUAACAAAGGAGUCUAUUAGACAAAGAGAAAAUCAAUGUGCAUGUUUUUAUUCUUUUGUAUUCUUUGUAUUAAUUCUUAUAAUACUGCACAAAAGACAAGUUUUAAGGUAGAACAAUAUACUGUUCACCUGUAUGUGUGAACAUCUUGGCUGAUUAACUCUGGCUAACUUAAUAUUGCACUCUGUAUCUCACAAAGGUUACCCGAUUUUCCCUACAUGAUUCAUAAAGUUUUGUGUUAAAAUUAUGAAAAUCGUUACUUUUAUUUUGAAUGGAUAUACUGAAAACAAAUUCUUCAAGUUAAUUAUCCAGUUUUUGCAUAGAAUUUUCCUUCAAUAAAGAAAAUAAAAAUUAAUCUCUAGUUGGUUGGAUCUGAUAAACAUGAUCUCUGUUUUGACUACUCAACUGUUCCAUUGAGCAGGAAAGAAUCUGUAAAUAAUUUGUGAAUACAUGAGCAUGAUUGGGUUCUAAUAAAACCUUGUUUAUUAAAAUGGGUGACAGGCCAGGUUUGAUCUUCGAGCUAUAUUUUGUUCAUCCAUAGUUUAGGAAAUUGAGGUCAGGAGUGUAGACAUUGCCAGGUGUAAUGUAAUAGAAAAAGUCAGAUGACAAAGCAGUCAGUGUUAGGUUAACUCAGUGAACAUUAACCAUAAUGAUAUAAAUACUGAGGCCUGGGCUGCCACUCUCCACUUUCUUAUUGUCUUCUACUCAAUCCCAGAACCUCUUUUCACAAAUGUGCAGAAUCAGUCAGAAUUCUCAAAACAGUAUUCUAGGCUGCCACUCUUAGGAUUGGAGUUGUUCUGUAAGAUGAAAUCAGUUGGUCACCAUUACAUCACAUGUGUUAGUUACCGGGCAGGAUAGAUAACAUAUUAAGAGUGUUCGACUUCAUCCUUACUCUUCAUGGGCUUAGAAUCCAAUGUCAAUUUCCUAAGUCAGAUCAUUUCACGCCUCUGGAAUCCUUAAGUGGGAAUAUAGGAUGUGACCCUGUCUUUCCCCCUGGAAAAUUAAGAUCAAAGGAAGCACUACAGGUAAAAAUAUUAUAUAAAUCUCAAAACAUCCAAUAAAUCCUUUUUUUUGCAUAUUUGUUUAAAAAGUGAAAGCAACAAACAGGUAUACAACAAGUCUCAUUUUGUUCCUUAAGAUUCUGACAAUGCCUAUGAUGAGGAUAAAAUAUCUGAAAACUUUCAUGGUUUGCAUGAAACCAUUCAGCAACUGGGACACAGGAAAAUUAACCACCCAUAAAAAUGACUUUAUUUUGAGAAAUUAGGCCAAACAUUUCACUUGUACUUAGCUGAUGUGUGAAUUGUACUGCCUAAGGUGUGCUUUGUUCUCAAGUCUUACACACACUAGGCGUUGGAUCCCUCUGAAAUAGUUCCUGGAGGAUAGGGAUCUGAACAGAGAAAGGUAGAAAACAUUUGAGUGGAGACAGGUGUGGGUGGGAACCUUCAGGGGAAGUUCUUUGAGAGAUCUCAGGGGACUCUACUGCCCUUCAGGUUUCAAGCAACAGGAGCCAAUUUGGUCUCACCUAACGGAAGAUUAAGAAUUUAUUUUAAAGAAACAGGGGUGGCUCCUGGAACUCAAAGGCAAUAAUGCAGACAGACCUUAAGAAGUGAUUGGAAGUUAAAACAUAAAAGGUACGAGGCCUCUCCAGGUUCUCUGUGUGUGAUUUUUCCCAGCUUGCUUGGUCUCUGUAGGUAAAGCGGGCUUAUCUUCAUCCUCAGCCUAUGAUGAAGGAUGGUCAAAAUUCAGCUUCCAAUUUUUAUGUCACAGUCCUCAAAUAACUGAAUUAAUGGUUUCAAUUCCAAAUGCCCAUAGAUAGAAAUGUAUAUCUCAAAUGCCUACUUUUGUCCAAUCAAAUGUGAUCAGUAGUGCAAAGAGAUGCUAAGAAUAUAUUUCAGUGAGUUACACCGACUAUUUCCAUGAGAAAAGAAGUGAGGUCACUGCCUUACAUAUCGGACAGACACCCUAAGGAAUGUCAGCUUCUGAGUUCCAAUGAAAAGAUGUACUUAUUAAUUUUUUAAUAUUCUGUGGCUAUAGCAUUGCAAUAUGAGGCUUAAAUUAGGGGAAUAACAUGGUCCUGGCCAUGUCACCUCCAAAAAUUUGAUCUCAGAGAUGUUGACUUUUUUCAUAGCCCUCUUCCUGGACCUAUUUUCACAGUCCUCUCUAGUGCAGAUUACUGAGACUCAUGUAUGGGAAUAGUGACUAUCAAAUGUUUUUUCAAGUUUCAAUAAAUGGAUGGUAUGAUUCAUACCUGUGUAAUAUUUUCUUGCACAAAAAGUUCCCUUUAGUUCUAAUAAAGGUCUUUUCAGCAAAAUGAGUUCUUAGAGUGUUGAACUUUCUAUAAAUUCUUGUCCUUUCGAAAAUACAUUGUAAACCUUUAAAAUGGAAGAAAAUAUUUGCUCUUUUAUAAGUACUCCUCUCUGUUCCUAGCACCCUUCUGGGCACAAGAGAUUUAUCUCACAAAUAUUUGUCAAAGUGGCUUCUCUGAUAGGGGGCCAAGAAGAUGCAAAUAUAAGACUUGUGUGGCUUUACAUAAGCUUGGAGAGAAUCCUUUUUUUUUUUUUUAAGAUUUAUUUCAUUUAUUUGAAAGAGUUAUAGAGAGAGGUAGAGAUAGAGAGCGAGGUCUUCCAUCUGAUGGUUCACUCCCCAGAUGGCUGCAAUGGCCGGAGCUGCGCUGAUCCGAAGCCAGGAGGAAGGAGCCUCUUCUGGGUCUCCCAAGUGGAUUCAGAGGCCCAAAGACUUGGGCCAUCUUCUACUGCUUUCCCAGGCCAUAGCAGAGAGCUGGAUCAGAAGAGGAGCAGCUGGGACUCGAACUGGCGCCCAUAUGGGAUGCUGGCACUGCAGACCAGGGCUUUAACCUACUAUGCCACAGUGCUGGCCCCAGAGAGAAUCCUUUUAUAUAAAAACUAAAAGGGAGCUGCUUCUCAAAUGAUAUGGUAGGCUGAAUAAUGACCCCCUGACAUAUGUACAUAUUCUGAUUUUCUGGAACCUGUGACUGUUUCAUUAUAUGGCAAAAGAGAAGAAAACUACGUUUUUCAGGAUCACAGAACUACUCAGGAAGGAGAUGUACAUGGAAGCCAGGCCUCCCAAGUUACUUCUAGAGAGUGCUCUCUUUUUUCUCUGCUGUCAUGGGGACUAAUGACAAUAGGGAGGCAUAUCAGAAUUAAUACUCUGGAAUGUAGAAUGUAGAGGGAUCCCACCUGCCUUCCUGGAGAAGCAGCACCUGAUUAAGGGAAGCCUGCAUUGGUCUUUGCUAUUACUUUAAAAAAAUACCAUAUUUAUAUUUCAUUUCUGGUACAUAGGGAAAACAUUUAACACUUGUCCAAAUACCAUAUGGACUUUGGAUUUCAUCACUUACAUGUUAGCAAACUUCAGCUACACAAGAACAUUUCCUCUGAAAGCAGGAAAUUCAGGAUUUGAGGAGUUUGGAGCUCAGGUCUCAUUGAGAGGAGCAGAGUGGCUCAAAUCGUUGAUGAUGCUGUGGGGUAAAAGCUGAGGCAGGCAUUUUGUGUGGGUUUCUACCCGGCUGGGAGGUGGGGAUUAAGGGUUUAAGUGGAUUUGAGAGGUUAUGACUGCUUGCAGACAACACUUUGUUUAUAGUCUUGAGUCUAAAGGGCCUUUGAUAUGUCUGGCACAGAGCUGGCCAGAAGGUCAAGGUCAGACUGCUGAGAGACUAAACAAGCUUAGAAAUGGGCUGGUGGCUGGCCUUCCUCUGACUUUACCUCUGCAAGGCUAUUCCAUUGUAGCUUCCUCUGAGAUCUGAAGCAAGAUAUCUGAGAGAUGUAGCCUUUCUAACUGUUCCUGCGACUGCAAACUAUGAAAGGUCAGAGCGCUGGGUGGGGACAAUAAAAGUAAGGAUAGUAAUAGCUGCUAUUUUACGGAGUACUUUCUAUGCGCUCAUGCAAUUUACUUACUGAGUAUGGUAGCAAGGUGCUUCUCUACAAGAGAACAAUUUACUCCAUGUGAUUCAACUCUAAGCAAGAGCUCAUGAUCCCUAGACAUCUUCACUUUACAAAUGAGAAUUCUGAGGCCCAGAGAGAGAAAAUAAGUUGCCAAAGGUCGCAGAACUAGCAAGUGAGCAGAUGCCAAUGGGUUCUCAAGACUUCUAGCUCAGGGCUCUCUUUUCUUUCUUGCUACUGAAGGCAGUGAAAACAAUAGAAAAGGAACAAUACAUUUAAGAAUCUGCAAUUCAUCCUUAGGCCAGAAUAGGCAGUAUGGUAUACUGGCACAGCCUCUAGAGCUCAUUUCCUGGGUUUAGAUCUCAACUCAGUCAAUUUAUAGUUGUGUGAGUUGUGUAAGUUAUUACACCUCUCUGAAACUCAUUCUUCUGUUAAUAAAAUCAAAAUAGUAAUAGUACCCAUUUCAAAGGGCUAUGCAAUAAUUACAUGAGUUAAAUAAAUAUUACCUGUCUUACUGUGGCUGGUAGAUAAAUGACAGUUUUUUCUAUGAACUCAUUAUAAUAAUUUCUGUUUUGAUAAUAAGGGCACAAUCUCAAUGUGGUUCCAAGGCUUGCUCAAUAGCACACAGACAGGAGCUCAACUGGGAUUUGGAUUCACAUUUCUGCUCAAAAUCAUCUACUCUACCACCUAUUAGCACCUCACAUUUUCUCAGAAUAGUAUUCUUUGCUACCACUGAGGGUGGCCCCCACUAUGUGUUAAUAAUGUAAAAUAUUGUUAGCUCCAUAGGGCUUGCACCUUUCACAUCUAUCUUUUGAGAUCUUGUCUUGAAGAAUUUUUUUAAACAGAAGAAGUUUAAGGAAUUAAUUACAUAAAAUCUGAGCUCAGGAAGCAGAUUGAAUUAGGAUGGCAGGGAGUAACAUUGGGCACUGCUCUCCUCUCACACAAAAAAGAAUGCUUGUGUUUAAAUGGGCAAAACACUUUGCCUUAGUGGUGCAAAAUUUUUCUACAGAAAAAUAAUUGAAGUUCAUGUAAAAAAAAUGGCAUUUGACCACAGACUUUAACAUAGAAGCUAGUCAUGGUAAGAGAGCAAUUUAGAUAGUACUCUUAGAAGGCCAUUUAGACAUAGUUGCUAGAGUCAGCUUCAAUGGGCACUGGAGCAGGUAUCUAAGGUGUAGCUGUUUGACAUUCUCUACUUCCACAGACCCCCUAUUUAAAGUUAUCGUCUGCAGAUUUUCACUGUGUCAGAACUGGGUCCAUCCUGUGCUUUGUGAAUCUCCACAUCUCAUAGAAACCCUUAGCACACAAAAGAAUAUUGUUCAGGAUUAUGGAAGAACUUGUGUGGAAAGUGGCUCGUUCAGAGAACAGUUGAAUGAACUCUCUAUUGGAGUGAUGUUUAACCAGAAAAGGGAUUAAUCCUGUUUUGAGUGGUUCCAGGAAACAAAGGAGAAUGGAAACUUCAAGGCGAAGCAUUCUUAUUUUGUUCUGAAUCAAUUCAAUUUCAGUAGCCCACUAGUUUAACACCUUCUAAGUGCCAAAGUUUUACACAGGAGUGAAUGAGGUGAAUUAAAUCCUCAAAUCCACAUUUAUCCACUACCUUGCUAUGUAUUUUAAUCACUAGAUUGGAAUCUAGUUAUAGCAUAACUAAUUAUAGAGAAUAUAGAUAUAUGUGAUAGUCAGCUUAUUACAGAUCGCUAUAUUCAGAUGAGCUUGUUUGGUGAAGUGUUUUCAUGGCAUGAUGUAGGAGAGUACAAAGUAGGGGCUAUAAAUAAGGAAUUCAAAGUUCUAAUUCUGAUCCUAUUGCACAAAGCUUAUGCAAUUUUAGGUCUCAGUGUUAACACUUGGUAAAUGGAACCGUAGAACUAAUGACCUUCAAUUCUCUCUUCAUUACAGAUGCUAUUUAAUGUUUACUUUGUCCUUAUGUCAUUGUACAAUCAAAAAUAUAAUCAUGUGUUGUUGAAGAACAGAGCAACUGAUUCUUCAGGCCAGGGCUUUAACCCACUGUGCCACAGUGCUGGCCCGAAGAGCAACUGCUUUUUAUGAGGAGACCACUGACUUAAUAUGCUCACUUUGAAAUUUUCAAAGUGGGUGAAAAAAUAAUUUAGAAAAAAUAAUCCUUAAUAUCCAUAUGCUGAAAAAUGCAUUAGCUCUAGUGCUUAACUAGAUUUCAAAGGUUAUAAGGAAGACUUCCUGUUGAGUAUGAGCUACAGGCAAAGAAGAACUUUCUGAGGAUAAAUCAGUUUUAAUGUAUACUGGGGAUGGAGAGCAAAAUGAAGGAAUAAAUUAAAAAAUGAUGACAUCAAGAAAUGACAGAAAGUUACAUUGAAACAAUCUUUUAUAGUCAUCCUAUUUUAAGGGAAAAGAGAAACCACUAAAAUUUACCAUUUUAACUAAUAUUUCAAAAUAAAAGAUUGGCACAGAUAAUAUUUACAAAUGCAUUCUCUAUUUAUUUAGGGGAGAGAGAGAGAGAGAGAAACAGAGAAUGAGGUCUUCCAUCCGCUGGUUCACUCCCCAAAUGACCGCAACAGCCACCACUGGGCCGAUCCAAAGAUGGGAACCAAGAGCUUCUUCUGGGUCUCCCAUGUGGGUGCAGGAAUAUAAGCACUUGGACUAUCUUUCAGUACUUUCCCAGGCUAUUAGCACAGAGCUGGAUGGGAAAUGGAGCAGCUGGGGCUUUAACUAGUACCCAUAUGGGAUAUCAGUGCUACGGGCAGAGGCUCACCUACUAGGACACAGUGAUAUCACUAUGUUCCUAAAUCUGUAUUUAUGAAGUACAUAAAACUUGUAUACCUUAAAUAAAAAUUUAAAAAAGCAUUUUAAAUACACCUUUAAUAAUAUUCCUACUAGAAUUAUGAAAAUACACUUGUAUGUACCAUGUGCAAGUGGUUCAAGAAUGUAGAAAAAUCUAAACUUGUGAUUUUUUUUUGUAGAUAACUUUUUUUUUACAUUUAAUUACAUUUCAAAGUAAAGGUAAAAGAGAGAUAAACAUCUUUUUAUGAUCUUCCAUUAUUUUCUUUUUUAUUUGAUUAUACAAAUUUCAUUUAUUUCAUACAUAAAGACUUAGGAACAUAUUAAUACUUCCCAUCCUCAUCUCCCUCCCACCCACACUCCCACCCUUCCUCCUCUUUCAUCUCCUAUUUCCUUUCUUAAUAUUUACAAUGACGUACUUUCAGUUUACUUUAUACUCAUAAGAUUAAUCCUAUACUAAGUAAAGAGUUCAACAAAUAGUAAGAAAAAAAAAACACUGUUCUUCAACAGUAGAGAUAAGGCAUGUAAAUAAUCAAUGAAUCUCAAAAUGUCAAUUUCACUCAUAUACAUUAUAUUUUUUAUACUCUAUUAGUUACCACAGAUGAGGGAAAAUGAGCUAUUUGUAUUUUUAGGACUGACUGAUUUCACUAAUAAGAGCUGGAUCAGAAGAGAAAUAGCUGGGACCUGAACCAGCACCUACAUGCAAUUAGUCAAGUGCCAGUCUGUCUCAGAUGUGCUAAGGAGAAACAAGAGAAGAUGUUUUUGUCCACACUUGAGCCAAAGUGUUAAAGGAACGCUGGCACACUUGAGGUGGGCGCUGGAGAGAGUGGAAAUGGAAAGCAAUUAAUAUUUACUGAGCAACCAUCAUGUCAUUUUUAAGACAUGAUCUCACUUUAUCCUUAAAGUCACCCUGAAAAAUAUUUCUACAUAAAGAAAAAAAAAGAAUCAGGUUUAGCUAGGCUAGGUAACUUGCUUAAAUCUUAGAGUUAGAAGAUGGCAGAAUAUAAAUUUAAACCUAGGUCUUUUCACACACACAGUACCAUCCUGCCUCCCACUACUACAGGCAUCAGGGUGGGGGUAGCAGUAGUGAUCGAGCCAGAGAACUCAGUGGGAAGUCACACUCUAAGAUUCAGGCCCACUCAGUCUCUACCUCUUUCCUUUUCUUUCCUUUCCACCUUCCAUUAAGUCAUUCAAAUAAUAUUUAUUGAGAAGCUGCUUAUGCCAAAUAUAGCUCUGGAUUCUCAGGAUACUAAUGAACUGAUGAAUCAGAUAAACCUGACCUGGUACAUUUAUAUUCUAGAAUAGAUUAUAGAGACUGAAAAAUAACUUCAAACAUUAUGUCACUUUUAAUGUUAUUUUGGGAAAUAUGUAAGGAGAUAAUGGAGAACAACAGUUGUUGGAGAGGUGGGGAUCAGCAAAGGCCCCAUGGAGAUAGUAAUAUGUGGGUGGAAAUGUGAGAGAUAAGAAUUUAGCUAUGCCAACAGUUGGGUAAAUUUUGUUUGAUGCAGGGAAACUGCAAGAGGAAAAAGAUACGACACAUUGAAAAAAGUAUAAUACCAUUAUCUUGUCUUUGUGAAUAGAAAACUGGAAAAUCCCAGAUUUACUUCAUUAAGGGAGAUAGCCCAUUAUAACAGGGAGAAAUCAUCUAUCCUGAGAGCCCCAGAAAGGAUAUCAGGUGGAGAAACAUUUGGAAAAAGAACAGCCUAGCCAUGCAGUCUGGUUUGAUGAAGAGCGCUUGAGGGAGGCAGAGGCAGAAAGUAGAGAUAAUGACAUGAGCAAGCGAAGGACUUAGAAGGGACAUUUCAGGUUGAAUCAUUUGAUAAAGAAAAUCUCCAACUGCAGUGGCAGUUCAGACUUUACUGGUUUUGAAAAUUGCAUUUAGAAUAGGGAGAUGGUAAAAUUGUAAAAAGGAAAUUGGCAGUGGUAAAAAAUAUAGAGUUGAAGUUGGAAUUGUGAUCAAAUCGAAUCUACCCAUUUCUGCAAUUAUAAACUAUUUUCUAAAAGUGUAAGCAGGUAGUCUGAUUAAAGUACAUGGUUUACAAUUACCAAAUGCUCACUCCAAAUGUUUAGAACCCAAGUGCAUCUUUAAACACAGAACACUUUCUGUAUUAAAUAUUCAUUAAAUAAUUUCAUUUUGCAGAUUCAAUACUUAAGAUAUCAAUUUAGAUGAUAGAUCAAAGACUGCACAGAUGGGAGAAACAGUAAAUACAUCCCUCCCUCUGUUCCCUUCAUUUACAGAGGAAGGAGCUAGAAUCUGGAGAGGAUAAGUGAGUGCCCACGAUUCUGAAGCCAUAUUCUGGGAGUUAAACCAGAAUGUUACAUUAUUUUCCAGAUGUAGAAAAAGAGAGAAGAAAGAAAAAAAAAGGAAGAACUUUUCAAGUUAACAGAGAACUGAUGUACCUGCUAUAUUCUCACCAUCUAGAUUUGUGCUCAGCACAAAAAUUAUUGCAGAGAGCUGGAUGGGGAAAUUGAACUGCCACUCCAAUAUGGGUUGCCAGCAUUGAAAAAACGUUGAAGCCAGAUGAAAGCUCCAAGCGUACGUACAGACAAUUAGAUCACAGGGGGUGCACUUGAAGCUUCUAGAUCUCAGGUCAUCACACUCUUCUGAUAGAGAAUGUCUGCAGUUGAGAAGCCAUGAGACUUCCCUUUGGCCUGGCCUGGUUGCCACAUGGAAGUGGCCUGAGUAAAUGCUCCUUGAGAUUAAUUACUUAAGGCAUGGAGAAACUGAAGCCUUGUCCAAUAUUUCACAUGUAGAUUGUGCCAAAGCUGUCCCUAAAAAUUAGGUUGGAGGCUUCUGCAUCAAGUUAUUUGUUAAACCAAAGCGUAGAUUGCCAUAAUUUUAUGAGAACACAAAGCAGCAUUAUAAAGACAUGGAAAAAGAUACAUACCUCAUGAGAACAACAACAACAAAAAGACUAGAAAUAAACACCCAUAAACUGUGUUUGGUCAACUGAUUUGCAGUAAAUAUGCCAAGGGGAAAAAGAAAACAAGAAAGAAAGAAAAGCAAGAAGCAGGAGGGGACACAAAUGCCCCAGCUACAAAACAAGGCAAG